rnacentral:tRNA from 1 species
GGAGGAAUACUCAAGAGGCUCAAGAGGACGCACUGCUAACGCGUUAGACUGGGAGACUGGUGCGAGGGUUCGAAUCCCUCUUCCUCCGCCA